UAAGCGGAGGAAAAGAAACUAACAAGGAUUCCCCUAGUAACGGCGAGUGAACCGGGAAGAGCUCAAAUUUGUAAUCUGGCCCUUGGGUCCGAGUUGUAAUCUAUAGAGGCGUUUUCCGUGCCGGACCGUGUCCAAGUCCCUUGGAACAGGGUAUCAAAGAGGGUGACAAUCCCGUACUUGACACGACGACCGGUGCUCUGUGAUACGUCUUCGACGAGUCGAGUUGUUUGGGAAUGCAGCUCAAAAUGGGUGGUAAAUUCCAUCUAAAGCUAAAUAUUGGCGAGAGACCGAUAGCGAACAAGUACCGUGAGGGAAAGAUGAAAAGCACUUUGGAAAGAGAGUUAAACAGUACGUGAAAUUGUUAAAAGGGAAACGAUUGAAGUCAGUCGUGUUGGUCGGAUUCAGCCUGGUCUCCGGGUGUAUUUCCUUCCAACGGGUCAACAUCAGUUUGGAUCGGCGGAUAAAGAUGGAGGGAAGGUGGCAUCCUCGGAUGUGUUAUAGCCCUCUGUUGCAUACGCUGGUUCGGACUGAGGCAUGCAGCUCGCCUUUAUGGCCGGGGUUCGCCCACGUUCGAGCUUAGGAUGUUGACGUAAUGGCUUUAAACGACCCGUCUUGAAACACGGACC
rnacentral:rRNA from 1 species